UUCCCGGACGGAAAUUUCAUUUUUCCCAUUUACAAGGGCUAAGCUAGAAUUAGAAAUGACCUCGCUCACUUUUUCCCUUUUUGAGUCAUAAUCACACACUUUUUUUUGUUGAAGAAAUCACACACGUUAUAUAUUGUGUAUUUUGUACAUUAUCCUACAAGCUAUUCUUCUAUGUAGAAUAGAAGUUAGUAAUAUUAUUUAUUUAUGAGUAUUAUUGUGAAUAUUGCUAUUUUUAAGAAUUUAAAAAGAAGCAGUGCAUAGUUACAAAUACAAACAGAUCUAAGUGAAGUGAAUCUGAUCAUCAUCGUCAUCGUGGAGAUUCAAACAAAUAUAAGAAAGAACGCAUUGUCGAUCUCGAUGAGCUCGCCUUCUCUUCCCGUAUCACAGUCACAGGUAUGAAUAACUGUUCUUGUGAUUGUGAAUGAGAUGUGACGAAUUUGAAUUUGAAUUUGAAUUUGAAUUUGAAUUUUAGAAUUGAAAUUGAAAUUGAAAUUGAGAAUUGCAAUUUACAGGGCACAAGAACGCUAUCGUCUGUGUCGGUGUCUGGAUCACACGACUCUGCAAAGGUCUCGCUCUCGUUCUCGUUGCAGCCCAG
rnacentral:lncRNA from 1 species